rnacentral:rRNA from 1 species
CUGUGAGCUCGAUGAGUAGGGCGGGACACGUGGUAUCCUGUCUGAAUAUGGGGGGACCAUCCUCCAAGGCUAAAUACUCCUGACUGACCGAUAGUGAACCAGUACCGUGAGGGAAAGGCGAAAAGAACCCCGGCGAGGGGAGUGAAAAAGAACCUGAAACCGUGUACGUACAAGCAGUGGGAGCACAGAGCAAUCUGUGUGACUGCGUACCUUUUGUAUAAUGGGUCAGCGACUUAUAUUCUGUAGCAAGGUUAACCGAAUAGGGGAGCCGAAGGGAAACCGAGUCUUAACUGGGCGUUAAGUUGCAGGGUAUAGACCCGAAACCCGGUGAUCUAGCCAUGGGCAGGUUGAAGGUUGGGUAACACUAACUGGAGGACCGAACCGACUAAUGUUGAAAAAUUAGCGGAUGACUUGUGGCUGGGGGUGAAAGGCCAAUCAAACCGGGAGAUAGCUGGUUCUCCCCGAAAGCUAUUUAGGUAGCGCCUCGUGAAUUCAUCUCCGGGGGUAGAGCACUGUUUCGGCAAGGGGGUCAUCCCGACUUACCAACCCGAUGCAAACUGCGAAUACCGGAGAAUGUUAUCACGGGAGACACACGGCGGGUGCUAACGUCCGUCGUGAAGAGGGAAACAACCCAGACCGCCAGCUAAGGUCCCAAAGUCAUGGUUAAGUGGGAAACGAUGUGGGAAGGCCCAGACAGCCAGGAUGUUGGCUUAGAAGCAGCCAUCAUUUAAAGAAAGCGUAAUAGCUCACUGGUCGAGUCGGCCUGCGCGGAAGAUGUAACGGGGCUAAAC